rnacentral:rRNA from 1 species
AGGACGAACGCUGGCGGCGUGCUUAACACAUGCAAGUGGUGCGGCGAACCAGGGCUUGCCCUGGGGCUAAGCCGCGAACGGGUGAGUAACACGUGAGUAAUCUGCCCCGAUGACCGGGACAACCCGAGGAAACUCGGGCUAAUACCGGAUGUGGUGCACGGGUAUAAGCCUGUGUACUAAAGGAAGCUUCGGCCUCCGCAUUGGGAGGAGCUCGCGGCCCAUUAGCUUGUUGGUGGGGUAACGGCCUACCAAGGCAACGAUGGGUAGCUGGUCUGAGAGGACGAUCAGCCACACUGGGACUGAGACACGGCCCAGACUCCUACGGGAGGCAGCAGUGGGGAAUAUUGCGCAAUGGGCGAAAGCCUGACGCAGCGACGCCGCGUGGGGGAUGAAGGCCUUCGGGUUGUAAACCCUUUCAGCAGGGACGAAGCGAAAGUGACGGUACCUGCAGAAGAAGCGCCGGCUAACUACGUGCCAGCAGCCGCGGU